GACGAGCUCUCCAAACGUUAUUCGGUAUCACUGGGCUUAAAGAGCUCGUAGGCGGUCUGUCACGUCGGAUGUAAAAACUCGGGGCUCAACCCCGAGCCUGCAUACGAUACGGGCAGACUUGAGUUCGGCAGGGGAGACUGGAAUUCCUGGUGUAGCGGUGAAAUGCGCAGAUAUCAGGAAGAACACCCGUGGCGAAAGCGGCUCUCUGGAACGGUACUGACGCUGAGACGCGAAAGCGUGGGGAGCGAACAGG
rnacentral:rRNA from 1 species